UCCCCUCCAUCCUCUUCCUUCUCCUCCUCCUCUUCUUUAAAACCACACCCAGUCCAGUGAGUGUUGCCUGAACACACAUGGGUAUUGAGCCAUCCCAGGGGCAUGGGCAGCCUACCAGCAGCCAUCCAUACCUUCGGAGAAGCUCAGCCGUCCUCCCUUGGAAGCAUCCGUUGGCCUGUGACCUCCGCACCCACAACUUUUGACCAGGUGCAUGGCACUAGACUUGUGUUCCCUCCUAUGAAGCAGACCUCAGAUCCUGUCAGAAAGCAGUUGAUUCCCGCAACCACCACGCCUCUAUUUCACUGGUAGCAGGGCUUGCUUUGGCUUUGUUCCUUAACUUCCAGCUACCUUGAGAUCUUCUAGGCAGCUCCCCUGCAGCCAGAGAACCAGCUAUUCAGCUGCGUGUGACAGAUGACAGUAUCUCCCCCCCACACACACACUGCCCAUCCAAAGCUCUGUCCUGGUGCCAGCCUCUUGUGCUCUCAGAAAGAAAGAGGCAUCUACAACUGCUGGUGGAAGACGGAAUCUGAACAGCUCUGGUUAUGUAACACGUGUAUAUCACUGCGAUGUGUACUGAGAGUCCACUUGAUGGGGCUCAGACUCACCAUGGAAACCUGGGUAUGGGACUCAGAGUCACCAUGGAAACCAGCCUCUGGGUAUGCCUGUCAGGAAGCUUCUAGAGUGUGUUCACGGAAGUGAGAAGAGCCCACCCUGUGUGUUGGCAGUGCCAUCUCGUCAUGAUCUGGGGUCCCGGACAGAAUGAAAAGGAGCAAGCAAGUUGAAUACCAGCAGUCACCCCCUCUCUGCUUCGUGACUGUGGGUGCCAUGUGACCAGCUAUCUCAUGUUCCUGCCACUGUGCCUCCCCGCCAUGGUGGACUGUGCACCCUCACACUGUGAGCCAACGCGAACUCUUCCUUCUUUAAGGUGCUUUUGUCGGGCAUUUUGUCACAGCAGUGAGAUGAUGGCUAAUAUGCUGCAGACACACGUGCACAGUGUGCAGGGCUCACGUGGAUGACACAAUCCCUGCCCCAUCUCACUUGACUAGCUCUCGGCAUCUGCUUCAGCCGCUUUUCUAGGAAACCACUCUUAAUCUUCUGGACUCUCUUUGGCUCAUAAAUUAAAAUGCAAAUUCUAUC
rnacentral:lncRNA from 1 species